CUCUUUUAAAUUGCUCUUAAGGAUGUAACAAAGAGUGCGUGGGAUGCCCUGAGGGCAGGCAUUCGACUUCUGGAGCAGCAGCUUAACUUCUGAAAUUCCUCCGAACCAUGUGUCCACACCUCGUCUGGCUGGAUCCGUGGGCCAGAUGUGGGUGGUGAAUCCUGUGGAUUAGAGGUGGUGCUAGGUAGCCCCCAAGUGACUGCAGUGGUGGGUCCACAGGCAGCCUGCAGAGCCCGGCCUGCAGCAUGCCAGCUGGGCCUGUGAUGGGGCAUCCAGAGGGUGUUGCUCUGAACACUCAGCAUGUCUCCGCUGACACAGUGUGCUCAGGCUUUGUUAACAUGGGGCCUGUUGGCUGCAGAGACUCAGGAGUUGAGAGUCUAAUUUUUGGACCUGCUGAUGGUUAAGUCAUAGUGAGUCAGUGUUAACGCGCAAAGCGUUUGACGAGUCCAAUGUGCUUCCAUGCUAAGCAGCACCAGGUUUCUUUUGCUAAAAUUGAACUCCUGUGAAAAAUUCAGAGUGACUAAGUUCAUUCAACAAAGACUGUGGGAGCCCGAGGCUGGUAAACAAUGAGUCCAUCCCGCAUCCCAGGGGACUCUGGUGGCAGUGCAGUUUUGCCGAGAGGAGUUUUAAUUUAAAAAAAUGCAAUCAGGAGACCAGCAGGUCCUGGAAUGAGUCACCCUCAGUGCAUCUGCGGACUCAUCAGACACCCCAGGCCGGCUUCGGGUGGGGAAUGCACUAGAACGAAGUGGCACCUUUGACUAAACGAGGCCUCCCCCGAGUACUCAGAGUGGCCCAGACCCCUCUCCUCAGGGGGCUAGCAGGCUUCAGCUCUCAUUUGAAAGGGCCGAUAUCAAGCAGAGUUGUGCUGAGGCCAGAAACCCCCACGGGCAGGUCCUCCCAGGGCUGGGAGUGGGCAUGCCGUGGGGCCGGCGCCGCCAGGACAGGAGGGUGGCCACGAGCUCCAGCUCCACAAUGCCAGGCCGACCCUGCCGUGGGGCUGGGGCUGGGACUUGCUGUGCUCUGCUGGCAGCAGCUGUUCCUCGGGGGUUUCCAGGCUCUUGGAGAUCAGGGACACUCAUUUCUCUUGAUCAUGGCUGAUAUAAGCAUCCCUCUCUGUGUCAGGCCCUCUCCAUGGAGAAAGCAUUUCUAGGUGUUUGGGCUGGUGCCCGCAGCCUGUGCCUGUCCUGGGAGGCAGGGCCCAUGCACAGGUGCCCAUCAACACAGCGUCCCCAACACCUGGGCAGCACACCGGAUCCCUGAUGUCUAGGGAAGAGUCUUCUAGGUCCCCAGACCCCACCCCUCCUGCCCUUGAUCAAGAGACCAGUUCACUACUCAGAUGCACGUCUCCUUGGUGCCUUGACCAUUCAUGUGACCUUUUUGGCAUCACAGAUCAAGUGUCUGCAGAUGGGCCCAGGGCCUGUAGGUCAGACAUUGCUCUUUUUCCCCAGCCUCAAGCACAGGGGACACAGGGUGGGCUAGGCCAGAGCGCCACCUCCUCAGGCCCCUGGGCUCCCCACUGAGCAUGAUGAGCCUGGGUGAGGGGAGGCGCCUGCUGCGGUUGCCCCAGGUGGAGGCCGCAUGUCCGGUGUGCCUUGGUCAUUGCUGGUCUUCGCCUGGGGGCGGGCUGGUCAGGAGACCGAUUGGGUAACACGCCUGAUUUCGGCUUCUCUGCAACAUGAGAGGCUGCAGUGCUGGAGCCACUGCCCAGGGUCCCUACCUGCACCCCUGCCUGGCUUGUCACAUGCUCUGUGUCCAGCCUGGUCAUGCCUGUCCUUUUCCCCACCUCCCCUCCGUAGGCAAGGUGCCCGGCGACGACUGCCCGCUGGUGUGGGGCCAGUGCUCCCACUGCUUCCACAUGCAUUGCAUCCUCAAGUGGCUGCACGCGCAGCAGGUGCAGCAGCACUGCCCCAUGUGCCGCCAGGAAUGGAAGUUCAAGGAGUGAGGCCCGACCUGGCUCUUGCUGGAGGGGCAUCCUGAGACCCCUUCCUCAUGCUGGCGCCGAUGGCUGCUGGGGACAGCGCCCCUGAGCUGCAACAAGGUGGAAACAAGGGCUGGAGCUGCGUUUGUUUUGCCAUCACUAUGUUGACACUUUUAUCCAAUAAGUGAAAACUCAUUAAACUACUCAAAUCUUG
rnacentral:sRNA from 1 species